CAGCCAGAAUGGAGCUCACAGCCGCAGUGUGUCUGGUGACCCACGGGGACCAUGAUGGAAAUUCAUCUUCCAGAAAGUCCCAGAACAGCGUCCACAACCCUGAAAAGACCAAGAUGUAAGGUGUCUGCUGUUGAUUCCAGCUUCCACCUCAGUGACAGUGCAAGCUCAGUGAACUGUUCAAGGAGGCUACUGAUUCUGGCCCUGUGACACUUGGUGGUGACGUGUGAGCUGAUUCACCUGGACACUCAGCAAAAUAUGGACUCUACACCAUGAGGCAGGCACACGUUAAUACUUAUAAGAGCACAUAAGCAUGAGGAUGUCCUCACACACCUGUAACCUAUCAGCUCAUCUGGCAGAAUAGAGAGAGAAGAGACAACACCACAUCUCCUGUUCCUGGAAAGCCUUCAGCCAUCCUUCGAUGACUGAGAACCUCCAUCAGCUCUGUCUCCUGUCUGCCUACAAUUAUUAUAAUAAAUAUUGUGUUUGACAA